rnacentral:SRP_RNA from 1 species
ACUGGACUUGGUGGUGUGCAACUGCAGUCCCAGCUACUCAGGAGGCUGAGGCAGGUGGAUUAGUUGAGCCUAGGAGCCCUGGGAUGUAGGGGCUAUGCUGAUCAGGUAUCUGUACUAAGCUUGCUUCCAGUGUAGUAAGCUCCCUGGACUGGGGGACCACCAAGUUGCCUAAGGAGGGGUGAAAUGGCCCACACUGGCAAUAGAGCAGGUCAAAACUCCUGUGCUGAUAUGGUUUGGCUCUGAGUUUCCACCUAAAUCUCAUGUCAAAUUGUAAUUCCCAGUGUU